UCUGUAUUCAUCCUUUUCGUCUUCCCCAGCCUUGCUCUGAACUAUCUCCACAUCCUGUGCUGCCCUACAGUCAGUCACACAGGACAUCUCGACAUUGCCAUGGUCACCUGGCUGAGCUUCAGGGGAGCAUUCUCCUCUGUGAUUCCGGAGAGGUCAGCCCCAUUGUUGAAGAUCCGGGUGAUGCCCAGUGGACUCAUGAGUGUCUUCAAGUUAUAUUCUCCAGAGAUGGACAGUCUGGGGAAGUGGAUCUGGGCUAACCUGGUGGUCAGGAACUUGGAGAUGAGCUCCUUGCUGAGAGUUUGCUCCAGAUGCUGCAUCUUCCCAUCAUCGGGCAGAAGGAAGACAGCAGUGGCAUUGCCUGCAUAAUCCAUCAGCAGCACCCAGCUGGACAGCGUGCUGCAAUGGUGCACAUCAAGCAUUCCCGAGAGGGUCAUCAUGGGCACCUUCACCGUGGUGGACUCGUCCACGUGGAACUCAGCUUCCUCAGUGUUCUCAGGAUCGAAUGGCUUCUUCCAUUUGCCUGAAGAGGGGAGAGUGAGAGCAGACCUUAGACAAUGAGGUGGUGACACAGCCCAUUGACUUUUCAUGUGCACGGGGUGGGGGGUCAGGGGAACACUACUAGCCUUCUAGGCUGCCCAGGCACUUUGGUGAGGGUAACUCAGGACUCAAGGAGUACUUAGACUUUCCAGACCACAGAAGCUGAGAGCUACCAUCCCCGUGGUGCCUAGAAAAUAUCUUACAUAAUUGUUAUAUACUUAUAGAAAGGUGACUUGGGGUUAUAAAUGGAAUUCCUGAAGCUAUUCUUAUCAGGAGUGGCACACUCAUUGGAAAUUCAUUCAUAACUCAGGACAAAUGUUUUUUGGCACCUCAAGCCCCUUUCUACAUUCAAGGGUUCAGUGCAGAAGUCUAUCUGCUGUAUAAAACCACCACCGUCAAGAAUACUGGAGUAGGUUGGGACUUUGGGGAACCACCAAAAAGAACCCAUCGGAAUGCCUUAGAGUCUCAGAGACAUAUCAACAAGGCCACUAGAGUGGGAGAGGCUCCAGGGAACCUGUCACCAAGGUCAUUGGAGUGGACACAGGUCUCAGGGACCCAUCUCUGAAGCUGUCAGUGUGGGCUGAGUUCUCAGGGACCCAAGAUCAAGGCUGUCAGCAAGAGAAGGACAGCAGGAAUCCUAACUUCACCUUCCUUUUGGAUAGGAAUUGGUGAAUGGGUUGGGGUGGAGUUGACACCUACACUUGUCACAGAAAUGAUGGGCCUUGAGCUGUGCUGGCCUGAUAGUGUCCUCCACAGGACUCUGUUGGUGGCAAGGGUGUCAUGAAGGCCAGAGCAGCUUCUGCUUUUGACUCCAAUUUCUGGAGAGUCUUGACCUAAUGACUUCCAGGCUGGAGGCCCUGCUUGGGAUGUUAGUUGAUCAGGUGCUUAUGUCAGUGCACUGGGUAACCUCCCUAAUUCUUUCAUUCCCCACACAGCAGUCAGCUAGCUUUGUCCCUUGUAAUAUGGGCAGUCACACCCCAAACAGGUAAAAUGGCUGGUCCAAUAUCAAGGCUAAUAGAUUAGAGUGGCCAGAUUCAAGCCAAUGUUUCCAGAGGUCAUAAUGGUGGUAUGCAACAGAGGGGCUGAUCAAGUACACUCCAUGGAAUGGUACUCUCUUCAGACCAUCACAACGAGGACAGUUGGUUUUGAAGCUGGGGAAGGAUUGCACAUUCUACAACUCUCUUUGUAGGGGAGAUGAACAUUAGGACAACCAAGGCCCCAAUCAGUCCUUCAAAGAAGUCAGUGGACUUGAAGUUUGAAGCCAAUUCCUAAGCUUAAUUGAUAAUUUGAAAGAUGUCAGAGUACACAUCAUAGAGUAGGGAACGUGAUGGGGCAAUACCACAGCUUGGCGUGAAGCUCAUAAACUGGUCCUUGAGAAUAUGUAUGGGUGUCUCCAUGGUCGCCAACUCAAGCUGGUUCUGCCACUUACCUUUAAAGAGAAUGUAAUUUGCCAGGGC
rnacentral:lncRNA from 1 species